rnacentral:misc_RNA from 1 species
UCGAGACUACCACGCUUGAUGCUGGCCGCAAGGCAUGUGCUCGGCGUCUCGUCCACACCUCUGUGCACCUUCGAGGGGGCGUCAGCCGCCUCGCUUCAUACACCUUACAAAAGUCUAGUCGAAUGUAACAUAUAAACAAAUA